GAUGGACGCUGGCGGCGUGCCUAAUACAUGCAAGUCGAGCGAACAGAUGAGGAGCUUGCUCCUCUGACGUUAGCGGCGGACGGGUGAGUAACACGUGGAUAACCUACCUAUAAGACUGGGAUAACUUCGGGAAACCGGAGCUAAUACCGGAUAAUAUAUUGAACCGCAUGGUUCAAUAGUGAAAGACGGUUGUGCUGUCACUUAUAGAUGGAUCCGCGCCGCAUUAGCUAGUUGGUAAGGUAACGGCUUACCAAGGCAACGAUGCGUAGCCGACCUGAGAGGGUGAUAGGCCACACUGGAACUGAGACACGGUCAAGACUCCUGCGGGAGGCAGCAGUAGGGAAUCUUCCGCAAUGGGCGAAAGCCUGACGGAGCAACGCCGCGUGAGUGAUGAAGGUCUUCGGAUCGUAAAACUCUGUUAUUAGGGAAGAACAAAUGUGUAAGUAACUAUGCACGUCUUGACGGUACCUAAUCAGAAAGCCACGGCUAACUACGUG
rnacentral:rRNA from 1 species